UACAGAGGUCCCAAGCGUUGUUCGGAUUCACUGGGCGUAAAGGGUGCGUAGGCGGCGCGGUAAGUCGGGUGUGAAAUCUCGGAGCUUAACUCCGAAACUGCAUUGGAUACUAUCCGGCUAGAGGAAUGGAGGGGAGACUGGAAUACUUGGUGUAGCAGUGAAAUGCGUAGAUAUCAAGUGGAACGCCAGUGGCGAAGGCGAGUCUCUGGACAUUUCCUGACGCUGAGGCACGAAAGCCAGGGGAGCAAACGGG
rnacentral:rRNA from 1 species